UACGGGGGGAGCAAGCGUUGUUCGGAUUUACUGGGCGUAAAGGGCGCGUAGGCGGCCACCGCAAGUCGACUGUGAAAUCUCCGGGCUUAACCCGGAAAGGUCAGCCGAUACUGCGGGGCUAGAGUGCAGAAGGGGCAACUGGAAUUCUCGGUGUAGCGGUGAAAUGCGUAGAUAUCGAGAGGAACACCUGCGGCGAAGGCGGGUUGCUGGGCUGACACUGACGCUGGAGGCGCGAAAGGCUAGGGGGAGCAAACGGG
rnacentral:rRNA from 1 species